rnacentral:rRNA from 1 species
GCAGAACGCGAAGAACCUUACCCACACUUGACAUGCCUCUUGGGACUUUCAGAGAUGAUUGUUUUCGGUUCGGCCGGGGAGGACACAGGUGCUGCAUGGCUGUCGUCAGCUCGUGUCGUGAGAUGUUGGGUUAAGUCCCGCAACGAGCGCAACCCUUAUCGUAUGUUGCCACCAUUUAGUUGGGCACUCAUGCGAGACUGCCGGUGAUAAGCCGGAGGAAGGCGGGGACGACGUCAAGUCAUCAUGGCCCUUACGUGUGGGGCUAGAAACGUGCUACAAUGGUGGUGACAGUGGGCAGCGAGGUCGUGAGGCCAAGCUAAUCCCUGAAAGCCAUCUCAGUUCAGAUUGUAGUCUGCAACUCGACUACAUGAAGUUGGAAUCGCUAGUAAUCGUGAAUCAGCAUGUCACGGUGAAUACGUUCCCGGGUCUUGUACACACCG